rnacentral:rRNA from 1 species
AGAGUUUGAUCCUGGCUCAGAUUGAACGCUGGCGGCAUGCUUUACACAUGCAAGUCGAACGGCAGCACGAGGGCAACCUUGGUGGCGAGUGGCGAACGGGUGAGGAAUACAUCGGAACGUGUCUUCAAGUGGGGGAUAACGCAUCGAAAGGUGUGCUAAUACCGCAUAAUCUCUGAGGAGAAAAGCAGGGGAUCGCAAGACCUUGCGCUUUUGGAGCGGCCGAUGUCUGAUUAGCUUGUUGGUAAGGUAAAAGCUUACCAAGGCUUCGAUCAGUAACUGGUCUGAGAGGACGACCAGCCACACUGGGACUGAGACACGGCCCAGACUCCUACGGGAGGCAGCAGUGGGGAAUUUUGGACAAUGGGGGCAACCCUGAUCCAGCCAUGCCGCGUGAGUGAAGAAGGCCUUCGGGUUGUAAAGCUCUUUCAGCCGGAACGAAACGGUUACGGUUAAUACCCGUGACUACUGACGGUACCGGAAGAAGAAGCACCGGCUAACUACGUGCCAGCAGCCGCGGUAAUACGUAGGGUGCGAGCGUUAAUCGGAAUUACUGGGCGUAAA